rnacentral:lncRNA from 1 species
AAAGUGCCUGUGAAGUGAAACUUUACCUUUCUAUAUCACCAGCUUCCUGUUAGAGCAGACUUUUUCUUUGCUCAAAGUCUAAGCAUUGAAGAACUUCUUUUUAGUAGGUAGAUUUUUGUGUUUUUUUGUUUGUUUUUGAGACGGAGUCUCACUCUGUCGCCCAGGCUGUGGUGCAGUGGCACGAUCUCGGCCCACUGCAAGCUCUGCCUCCCGGGUUCACACCAUUCUCCUGCCUCAGCCUCCCAAGUAGCUGGGACUACAGGUGCCAGCCACCACGCCUGGCUAAUUUUUUUGCAUUUUUUAGUAGAGAUGGGGUUUCAUCGUGUUAGCCAGGAUGGUCUUGAUCUCCUGACCUCAUGAUCCACCCGCCUUGGCCUGCCAGAGUGCUGGAAUUACAGGCGUGAUUUAGUAGGUAGUUUUGAGUAGGGAGUAUACAUUUAAAAUGCUGAAACUCAGUUAAGGAAUAAUCUAAUACUGUAUUCAACUGAAACUCAGUUGAGAAAUUUCUUUCCAAUAAUAAAGGAAAAUCAACUGCAGUAAUGAGGGAGAUGAUUUUGCUGCUAAUUACAACAAAUAUUUACUACAGACCUGUUAUGCACCAGGAACUGUGCUAAAUGUUUUAUACAUAUAACUUUAUCUUGUGCUCCAACAACUUAUUACAUAGAAAUUGCUAUUAUUCCCAUUUUCUAGAUUAAUAAAUUGGUUUAGAGGGGUCGUAUAGGUGAAACAACUCACUCAAUAUCACAAGCUGUUAUGUGGUGAAGUUUGCAUGAUCAGUACAGGGUUCUGGUCAUCCCACUCAUUGAGUGGUGCUAGUCAAGAUCUGGAAGCUCUUCUGGUCUUAGUUUCUCUAGCCGUGAAGUGACAAUGAUUAGGUCUAAUCAUAGAACAUGAGAGUACAUGUGAAAAAAUGCCUUUUUAAAGAGUAUGAAAAACUUGAGUUGUAAAAUUUUCUUGUGGAUAAUUUAUUAUUGCUUUUCUUUUUUAGAUAACACUAACAAAGUUGACCUUAGAAUUGGAGUGCCUGGGUUAGAACCCUGCUGGUACCACCUGCUUACUGUAAGACUUUGGUCAAGUUAUUAACUUUUCUGUUCCUCAUUUGUGAAAUAUUGUGAAAAAUAGUCUGUUUGCCUGUCUGAGAACAGUACUGGCACAAAAGUGCUUAAUACACUUCACUCAUUAUUAUUAAUAUUACUAUUGUUGCAUUUUCCCCUUGAAGGCAUGCUUCUGAUGUGAGUUCAGGAGAAGACACUGGCAAGGACAGCAAAGAACAGGAGAACACUCUAGCUUCCCUGAUAGCAUUCAAGGUGCUGUCCAAACUGACUGUGAUGGCACCCUCCAGACAGACAGCGAUGCCACAUGUUCAAGAUGGCAGAAUCACUAUCAGCUUCAAUUCCUGAAUGACUGCAGAGCAAAAUUUCUUACCUGCAACAUACACUCUAUUUUCAGCCUCCCUGGACUGUUACAUAAUGAUACAUAAAAAUAUUUCUUGUGUUGAGGCAUCCCAAAUUUGAUUUAUUUGUCAUCACAGUCUAUCCUAUGAAUAUAUUUCUGAUCCAAAUAAUGCUAGAUUCAUGAGAGUUUAUAGUCCAGAGAUUUUUUUUUUUUUUUUGAGACAGAAUCUGUCUCCCAGGCUGGGGUGCAGUGGCAUAAUCUUAGCUCACUGCAACCUCUGCCUCCCGGGCUCAAGUGAUCCUCCCUCCUUAGCCUCCAUGAGUAGCUGGGACCACAGGUGUGCACCACCACACCCCGCUAAUUAUUUUGUAUUUUUUGCAGAGGGGGGUUUCACCACAUUGCCCAAGCUGGUCUCAAACUCCUAGACUUAAGGGAUCUGCCUGCCUUGGCCUCCCAAAAUGCUGAAAUUACACUUGUUAGCCAUAGUAAUAGUUCCUAGCCAUAGUCCGGAGAUAUUUUAAAAACUUUAGUGUGAGUUAUUUCUCUUUGCUAUAAUUCUCUCAUGCAUUUUGAAAACCUUUUCUGCCAUACAGUGGUUUUUGGGAAGUCCUUUUGGACAGACAUAUCACAGGAUGGAGAAACUAAAAAGAGAGAAUGCAUUAAAGAAAAAAUAGUACUUCGUAUUUCAGAAAUUACAAAAGGGUGUCAUGCCCCACAGCAUGGUGGGCAGUCAUUUGUAACCCACAGAACAUUGAGUUUCUAAAAUUUGAGUGUUUUUAACUUACGAAGGCCAACUUUACUGAUGAAGUGAUUACCCCAAAUAUGUGAAAUCCAUAUUUCAAGUACAAUAGUAGGAAAUUGGAAAUGGGUAGGUAUAUUUCUGACUGUCAAAGAGUACAAAGUAAAGAGGGGCCCCUGAAGAGUGACACUACUG